GCAUGGUCUUAGCUUGCUAAGACUGAUGGCGACCGGCGCACGGGUGAGUAACACGUAUCCAACCUGCCGUCUACUCUUGGACAGCCUUCUGAAAGGAAGAUUAAUACAAGAUGGCAUCAUGAGUCCGCAUGUUCACAUGAUUAAAGGUAUUCCGGUAGACGAUGGGGAUGCGUUCCAUUAGAUAGUAGGCGGGGUAACGGCCCACCUAGUCUUCGAUGGAUAGGGGUUCUGAGAGGAAGGUCCCCCACAUUGGAACUGAGACACGGUCCAAACUCCUACGGGAGGCAGCAGUGAGGAAUAUUGGUCAAUGGGCGAGAGCCUGAACCAGCCAAGUAGCGUGAAGGAUGACUGCCCUAUGGGUUGUAAACUUCUUUUAUAAAGGAAUAAAGUCGGGUAUGUAUACCCGUUUGCAUGUACUUUAUGAAUAAGGAUCGGCUAACUCCGUGCCAGCAGCCGCGGUAAUACGGAGGAUCCGAGCGUUAUCCGGAUUUAUUGGGUUUAAAGGGAGCGUAGAUGGAUGUUUAAGUCAGUUGUGAAAGUUUGCGGCUCAACCGUAAAAUUGCAGUUGAUACUGGAUAUCUUGAGUGCAGUUGAGGCAGGCGGAAUUCGUGGUGUAGCGGUGAAAUGCUUAGAUAUCACGAGGAACUCCGAUUGCGAAGGCAGCCUGCUAAGCUGCAACUGACAUU
rnacentral:rRNA from 1 species